UGAUCCUGGGACAAGGCGGACUGCCGCGUC
rnacentral:sRNA from 1 species